rnacentral:rRNA from 1 species
GAUGAACGCUGGCGGCGUGCCUAAUACAUGCAAGUCGAGCGAACGGACGAGAAGCUUUCUUCUCUGAUGUUAGCGGCGGACGGGUGAGUAACACGUGGAUAACCUACCUAUAAGACUGGGAUAACUUCGGGAAACCGGAGCUAAUACCGCAUAAUAUUUUGAACCGCAUGGUUCAAAAGUGAAAGACGGUCUUGCUGUCACUUAUAGAUGGAUCCGCGCUGCAUUAGCUAGUUGGUAAGGUAACGGCUUACCAAGGCAACGAUGCGUAGCCGACCUGAGAGGGUGAUCGGCCACACUGGAACUGAGACACGGUCCAGACUCCUACGGGAGGCAGCAGUAGGGAAUCUUGCGCAAUGGGCGAAAGCCUGACGGAGCAACGCCGCGUGAGUGAUGAAGGUCUUCGGAUCGUAAAACUCUGUUAUUGGGAAAGAACAGAUGUGUAAGUAACUGUGCACAUCUUGACGGUACCUAAUCAGAAAGCAACGGCUAACUACGUG